UACGUAGGGGGCAAGCGUUGUCCGGAAUCAUUGGGCGUAAAGAGCGCGUAGGCGGCCCUGUAAGUCCGCUGUGAAAGUCAAGGGCUCAACCCUUGAAUGCCGGUGGAUACUGCAGGGCUAGAGUCCGGAAGAGGCGAGUGGAAUUCCUGGUGUAGCGGUGGAAUGCGCAGAUAUCAGGAAGAACACCAACGGCGAAGGCAGCUCGCUGGGACGGUACUGACGCUGAGACGCGAAAGCGUGGGGAGCGAACAGG
rnacentral:rRNA from 1 species